AGACUCAACCCCCCGGGUUUCUGACCCGGCGGCGUUGGAUUUGGGCCCUGCCUUUCCCGGCUGGCCUUAAAUGCGUUAGUGGUUUCACGCAGACGUCGUAAGUUACGCGUCGACUGUGGGCCGCUCACAACCCCCCUACUUUUGCA
rnacentral:misc_RNA from 1 species